GUCAGUGUCACACUGUAGAUGUGCAGGUGGCUGUUACAGGUAACAUGCACAGAUUGAGUUGGUGUGGUGCUGUAGGAUGUGCAGGUGGGCUGUCACAGGUAACAUGCACAGAUUGAGUUGGUGUGGUGCUGUAGCACAUGCAGGCGGGCUGUUACAGGUAACAUGCACAGGUUGAGUUGGUGUUGUGCUGUAGGAUGUGCAGGUGGGCUGUCACAGGUAACAUGCACAGAUUAUGUCAGUGUCACACUAUAGAUGUGCAGGUGGCUGUUACAGGUAACAUGCACAGGUUGAGUUGGUGUGGUGCUGUAGGAUGUGCAGGUGGGCUGUCACAGGUAACAUGCACAGGUUGAGUUGGUGUUGUGCUGUAGCAUGUGCAGGCAGGCUGUCACAGGUAACAUGCACAGAUUAUGUCAGUGUUGCACUGUAGGAUGUGCAGGUGGCUGUUACAGGUAACAUGCACAGGUUGAGUUGGUGUUGUGCUGUAGCACGUGCAGGCAGGCUGUCACAGGUAACAUGCACAGAUUAUGUCAGUGUUGCACUGUAGGAUGUGCAGGUGGCUGUUACAGGUAACAUGCACAGAUUGAGUUGGUGUGGUGCUGUAGGAUGUGCAGGUGGGCUGUCACAGGUAACAUGCACAGAUUGAGUCAGUGUCACACUAUAGAUGUGCAGGUGGGCUGUCACAGGUAACAUGCACAGAUUAUGUCAGUGUCACACUGUAGAUGUGCAGGUGGCUGUUACAGGUAGCAUGCACAGAUUGAGUCAGUGUCACACUAUAGAUGUGCAGGUGGGCUGUCACAGGUAACAUGCACAGAUUAUGUCAGUGUCACACUGUAGAUGUGCAGGUGGCUGUUACAGGUAACAUGCACAGGUUGAGUUGGUGUGGUGCUGUAGGAUGUGCAGGUGGCUGUCACAGGUAACAUGCACAGGUUGAGUUGGUGUUGUGCUGUAGCACGUGCAGGCAGGCUGUCACAGGUAACAUGCACAGAUUAUGUCAGUGUUGCACUGUAGGAUGUGCAGGUGGCUGUUACAGGUAACAUGCACAGGUUGAGUUGGUGUUGUGCUGUAGCACGUGCAGGCAGGCUGUCACAGGUAACAUGCACAGAUUAUGUCAGUGUUGCACUGUAGGAUGUGAAGGUGGGCUGUCACAGGUAACAUGCGCAGAUUGAGUUGGUGUGGUGCUGUAGGAUGUGCAGGUGGGCUGUCACAGGUAACAUGCACAGAUUAUGUCAGUGUCACACUAUAGAUGUGCAGGUGGCUGUUACAGGUAACAUGCACAGAUUGAGUUGGUGUGGUGCUGUAGGAUGUGCAGGUGGGCUGUCACAGGUAACAUGCACAGAUUGAGUCAGUGUCACACUAUAGAUGUGCAGGUGGGCUGUCACAGGUAACAUGCACAGAUUGAGUUGGUGUGGUGCUGUAGGAUGUACAGGUGGGCUGUCACAGGUAACAUGCACAGGUUGAGUUGGUGUUGUGCUGUAGCACAUGCAGGCGGGCUGUUACAGGUAACAUGCACAGGUUGAGUUGGUGUUGUGCUGUAGGAUGUGCAGGUGGGCUGUCACAGGUAACAUGCACAGAUUGAGUCAGUGUCACACUAUAGAUGUGCAGGUGGGCUGUCACAGGUAACAUGCACAGAUUGAGUUGGUGUGGUGCUGUAGGAUGUACAGGUGGGCUGUCACAGGUAACAUGCACAGAUUGAGUCAGUGUCACACUAUAGAUGUGCAGGUGGGCUGUCACAGGUAACAUGCACAGAUUGAGUUGGUGUGGUGCUGUAGGAUGUACAGGCGGGCUGUUACAGGUAACAUGCACAGGUUGAGUUGGUGUUGUGCUGUAGCACAUGCAGGCGGGCUAUUACAGGUAACAUGCACAGGUUGAGUUGGUGUGGUGCUGUAGGAUGUGCAAGUGGGCUGUCACAGGUAACAUGCACAGAUUAUGUCAGUGUCACACUAUAGAUGUACAGGUGGCUGUUACAGGUAACAUGCACAGAUUGAGUUGGUGUGGUGCUGUAGGAUGUGCAGGUGGGCUGUUACAGGUAACAUGCACAGAUUAUGUCAGUGUCACACUGUAGAUGUGCAGGUGGCUGUUACAGGUAACAUGCACAGGUUGAGUUGGUGUGGUGCUGUAGGAUGUGCAGGUGGGCUGUCACAGGUAACAUGCACAGAUUGAGUCAGUGUCACACUAUAGAUGUGCAGGUGGGCUGUCACAGGUAACAUGCACAGAUUGAGUCAGUGUCACACUAUAGAUGUGCAGGUGGGCUGUCACAGGUAACAUGCACAGAUUGAGCUGGUGUGGUGCUGUAGGAUGUGCAGGUGGCUGUUACAGGUAACAUGCACAGAUUGAGUCGGUGUCACUUUGUAGCACAUGCAGGUGGGCUGUUACAGGUAGCAUGCACAGAUUGAGUUGGUGUUGUGCUGUAGCACGUGCAGGCAGGCUGUCACAGGUAACAUGCACAGAUUGAGUUGGUGUGGUGCUGUAGGAUGUGCAGGUGGGCUGUUACAGGUAACAUGCACAGCUUGAGUUGUUGCCGCACCGUAGGAUGUACAGGUGGGCUGCUGCAGAUAACAUUGCCAUUCCUUGGUAGUGUUGGUUAUUUAAGGUGUCUGAGAAGUAGACAUGACCUUGCCUCACCCGAUCGCAUUUCUCUUCUAGAUGGAGAGUCGGCUGUGUGGGCUGUUCCCACCCUCUACCCACACAUGCACACACCCACACUCCGAGGUGGAAAGUGAGGCUUCCCUCCUGCCUCUUGGGUCUGUGUUGUCAUGGAGGCAUCAGGUCCCAGCAAGCAGACCACGUGUGCGUCUCCCUCACCAGCUCAGUGUCCCUGAUUUGGGCCAACAACAGUCAGACACAGCCCGGGGCUCUCAGCUGUGCACAGGGUGAGGCGACACCCAGGCGUCAUUGUGCAGGCAUCCAGCAAUUCCCCUCGCUGGAGUGCUCAUCAAAUCCCAGACCGGGGCGGGGGGGGCGAGGACGUGACAUCACUGAGACUCGUGACUCAGCAAACGAGUGCCCCUCGGGCUGCCAGCAUGCGUGCUGUCCUUCGCAGUCUGUCCUAGAAAGCUCUGCAGGACUAAGGCUGAGGCACAGAAAAUGGGGGGAGAACGUGCUUCUCUGACAGCAGGAACCACGAGGCUGCAGCAGCAGCAGGGAGAAGAGCUGGGGACACUGGAAAGUGGAUCUGGGAUGUCAGCAGGCCCAGCGGACGGACGUUCAGUGUGGAGCUGCCCCACCGGGCCUGGGGCCUGACGGCUGCCUCCUGCAGCGAGUCAUGGCCCAGUGUGGCCAAGGACAGUCGGCGUUUCCUGUGGGAAGCUCGUUUGAGAGACCGGCGCUCAGAGCCUCCUGCCCAGGUUCUGGAGACCCCGUGUGUCAGUGCCCAGCGAUCCUCAGAUGAGCAGGCAGACAAGCAGUCCCCUCUUGGGUCCAGGUCAAACCAGUAAAUGCAAACGCAUGUGGUCUGACACCGCCCAGACUGCCCAGCAGGACACAGGUUCAAUGGCAGCCCCUCUGCCCAGCCUGCUUUCCAGGGACAGCCCUCCCCUCCCCACCCCCGAGGGUGCUGAAUGGAGUCACUGGGUCUCAGCCCCCCAGCCAAGGGGAGGAGGCUGUACCUGUGACCCGAGCGGGGCCAUCUCAAGACCUCUCCAGGAACUUGGAUGCAGGGAGGGGCAGCCUCCAGGGAGUGACCAUAGCCUCUCCCUGAGCCUCUGAACCCUGCAGGCUGCCCACGCCCUCCAGAUAACCUUCUUCACCUGACUGUCCACAGACAGGCUGUGUCACCAGCCACCAAGCAGCUCAGUCAGAACCACAGUGGACAGGAUGGCCUAACAGUGCACUUAGUGCCCCCAUGCCUGGCCAGCUCUGGGCUCGCACGCUGUUCCACCUGCACCCCCUCACCUGCUCACAUGCUGGUCUCUGGGAGCACAGGAGUGGCCAGAGGGGAGGACGUCUCAGUGGACGAGGCCACACAGCUCAGGAGCUUGGGAGCAGCUGCUCUGGAUUUGAGUCGGCACAUCUGACCCCUGUACCAGCCCCCCACAGCACCUGGCUUCUCCCCGGGCCCAGAGCCUGCAGGUGCUGGAACCCUGCCCCAGGCGUGGGCUCUCGCUACCAGAUUUUCCACACGCACCCUCGGGCUGCCUCCUCGGUGUUGCCACCAUUACCGUGAGUCAUUUCUUCCUGUAUUUGACUUUCUUAUUUACCUGAAUUUUAUGACUAUUUACUCCUGCAUUUCACUUCACUCACGUUUUUACUGAAAUGUAUUUUAUAAGGAAUUACUCACAGGCACACAAACAAGCAGACACACACACAGAGCAGCUGGGGACUGUGAAGUCAAGCCAGCCAUUCUUGUCAGGCUGUGCCAAGACAGAGCCAGGCCUCAGGAAUGUGCCUUUGGUUUGCCAGCACCCACGGCACUGCGGCCCAGGCUGCAUGGGGUCAGCACCCAGGGCACUGCGGCCCCAGGCUCCGGGGUCAGCACCCACGGCACUGCGGCCCAGGCUGCAUGGGGCCAGAGCCAGGGCACUGCGGCCCCAGGCUCCGGGGUCAGCACCCACGGCACUGUGGCCCCAGGCUGCAUGGGGUCAGCACCCAGGGCACUGCGGCCCAGGCUGCAUGGGGUCAGCACCCAGGGCACUGCGGCCCAGGCUGCACGGGGCCAGAGCCAGGGCACUGCGGCCCCAGGCUCCGGGGUCAGCACCCAGGGCACUGCGGCCCCAGGCUCCGGGGUCAGCACCCGGGGCACUGCGGCCCAGGCUGCAUGGGGCCAGAGCCAGGGCACUGCGGCCCCAGGCUCCGGGGUCAGCACCCACGGCACUGCGGCCCAGGCUGCACGGGAUCAGCACCCGGGCACUGAGGCCCAGGCUGCACGGGGCCAGACCCGGGGCACUGCGGCCCCAGGCUCCGGGGGAGGGACCCAGAGACUGCUUCACACCUGAGGCCUUGCCGGCAUCCCAUUUGGGUGUCAGUUUGAGUCCCAGCCUCUCUACUUCUGAUCCAGCUCCCUGCUAAUGGCCUGGGAAAGCAAUGGAAGAUGGCCCAAGUCCUUGGGCCCCUGCACUCGCAUGGGAAGACCCAGAGGAAGCUCCUGGCUCCUGGCUUUGGAUCAGCCCAGCUCUGGCUGACACAGCCAUUUGGGGGAGUGAACCAGCAGAUGGAAGGCCUUUCUCUCUGUCUCUCCCUCUCUUUGUCUGUAACUCUACCUCUUAAAUAAAUAAUAAAUAAAAUCUUUAAAAAAGUGCUUCUUGGUGAUUAUUGCACAUGUUUGAAUUGUGGAUUUUUAAAAGAUUAAUUGCAUAGUAAGAAAAUUGUAUUUGUAUCAGUAAAUAUUUCUACCAGUGAAUAGCAAUAAAUACUUGUAUCAGUAAAUCUGUUUAAGAUACAUGACUCAUGAUAAUUUUCAAAGCAAAUAAUGAAUAAUUUCAAAUUUGUAUGUGAAAUUUUAUGUUAAUAUUCCUAAUUCAAAUCCACAUAAAAUGUGACGAGCCUUCUAUAUGAUACAGCCUAUAUUCACAUGCAGAUAUGGAUAUCAGUAUGUGAGAUAAUGAUUAACACAGAGGGCAGAUCCUUAGAAUUGUGGGGAAAGGUGACGUUAAUCUUAUUUGUAAGUCUUUUUGUUUGUUUGUUUUUGAAAGGUUUUAUUUAUUGGAGAAGUGGAGUUACACAGAGAAAGAGAAAGAUAGGCCUUUCAUCUGCUGGCCCACUCCCCAAAUGGCUACAACAGCCGGAGCCAGGAGCAUCCCCUAGGUCUCCCAUGUGUGUGCAGGGUCCCAAGCACUUGGCCAUCUUCCACUGCUUUCCCAGGCCAUAGCAGAUAACUGGAUUGGAAGAGGUGUAGCUGGGACACAAACCAGUGCCUACAUGGGAUGCUGCAACGCAGGUGGAACCUCAGCCUACCAUGCCCCAAGUGUGAAAUUCUUUCAUUGACUUGAUUGCCUUGUUUGUUGCAAAAAUUGUUAGGGAGGAAGUUGGAAAUUAUCCUGUUUGUGUGAGAGGCCUGAGAAAAAUAAGUUUCUUCAGGAAGGAGUGUAGCAGUCUUGGAAGCUCACCUUAGAAGCAGCCAGUAUUUUACACUACAAAGCCCUGCCUGAAACCCAAUAACUUUGCAGUCCCAGCUUCCCCAAGGAGGCUCCCCCAGGGACUCUCCUGAGCCGGGGUGACCCCGCCUGAUAGUCUUGCGCAGUAAAACCUUCAGGGCCUUCUCCCAGGGAGGCACCCCAGGGGACCCUCCUCUGCCAAGUGGGCCGCCCAGUGUGACAGCACUGAGCAGUGAAACCAUGGGAGGAAUGUACCCGAUCCAUAUUCAGCAGAUCCUUUGUCCAGAGGAGGGAGGAGGAGAGGAGAAGCAGCCAGAAUAACGCCCCCAUCCCUUAAAAAUCCAGUCUCAGAUUCCGUGUGGAGAGGUGCCCAGCUGUUUUGAUGGAUGUCCCACCCCAUUAACCCUUGCUACCCUGCUGACCACUCCUGUCUCAUGUCGGAACUCUUGAGCAAAGACAAGAACCGGUUCCACUCAACUCCACUAACAAAACCACCAAAGGGAGGAUGAGGUUCAAGUUCGGGUCCCAGGAAGUAAAUAAGGGUUUGAUAGGUAGACAGAGAGAUGGACUUCAGGAGUUUCUAGGUAAGCAACCACCAGACAGUGGAAACUUCCAACUUGCACAACUUAGAAUGCACUUGCCCUAGGCCACAGCUUUUUAUUCUGAUAUAUACACUAGAUUAGUUUUCCCAAGCACAUAGUAUGAUCCAGGGAUGGAUCACAAGUUUAAAAAAAAGAGUUAGAGAUACCUUCCAUCUGCUGGUUCACUCCCCAGAUGGCCCCAAUGGCCAGCACUGGGUCAGGCCAAAGCCAAGGGCUCCAUCUGGGUCUCCCAUGUGAGUGGCAAAGGCCCAAACACUUGGGCCAUCUUCCCCUGUUUUACCAGGGAGCUGGACUGGAGCAGCUGGAACAGGAACAGGCACGCAUAUGGGAGGCCAGCCUUACCCACUACUCCACACCAGCCCCCAUACAAGUUAUUUUAAUA